AGGCAGGUGGCGGACGGGCCGCUCGCCAACCGGGUCAGGCCGGGAACGGAGCAGCCCUAACGAGUUUUCCGCCCGGGUCGCUCGCCUGUCUCCG
rfam:Hyphomonas sp. T16B2 contig11, whole genome shotgun sequence.